rnacentral:rRNA from 1 species
GAUGAACGCUGGCGGUAUGCCUAACACAUGCAAGUCGUACGAGAGUUUUUAACUCUAGUGGCGGACGGGUGAGUAACACGUGAGAAUUUGCCUUUAGGAGGGGGACAACAAUUGGAAACGAAUGCUGAUACCCCAUAUGCUUUCGAGUGAAAUGGAUUUUAUCCGCCUAGAGAGAAGCUCGCGGCUGAUUAGCUUGUUGGUAAGGUAAGAGCUUACCAAGGCGACGAUCCAUAGCUGGUCUGAGAGGAUGAUCAGCCACACUGGGACUGAGACACGGCCCAGACUCCUACGGGAGGCAGCAGUGGGGAAUAUUGGACAAUGGGCGCAAGCCUGAUCCAGCCAUGCCGCGUGCAGGAAGAAGGUCCUAUGGAUUGUAAACUGCUUUUAUACAAGAAGAAACACUCCCUCGUGAGGGAACUUGACGGUACUGUAUGAAUAAGGACCGGCUAACUCCGUGCCAGCAGCCGCGGU